rnacentral:rRNA from 1 species
AUUGAACGCUGGCGGCAGGCCUAACACAUGCAAGUCGAGCGGAUGAAGGGAGCUUGCUCCUGGAUUCAGCGGCGGACGGGUGAGUAAUGCCUAGGAAUCUGCCUGGUAGUGGGGGAUAACGUCCGGAAACGGGCGCUAAUACCGCAUACGUCCUGAGGGAGAAAGUGGGGGAUCUUCGGACCUCACGCUAUCAGAUGAGCCUAGGUCGGAUUAGCUAGUUGGUGGGGUAAAGGCCUACCAAGGCGACGAUCCGUAACUGGUCUGAGAGGAUGAUCAGUCACACUGGAACUGAGACACGGUCCAGACUCCUACGGGAGGCAGCAGUCGGGAAUAUUGGACCAUGGGCGAAAGCCUGAUCCAGCCAUGCCGCGUGUGUGAAGAAGGUCUUCGGAUUGUAAAGCACUUUAAGUUGGGAGGAAGGGCAGUAAGUUAAUACCUUGCUGUUUUGACGUUACCAACAGAAUAAGCACCGGCUAACUUCGUG